rnacentral:rRNA from 1 species
GAUGAACGCUAGCGGCAGGCUUAAUACAUGCAAGUUGAGGGGCAGCAUGAUAUACGUAAGUAUAUUGAUGGCGACCGGCGGACGGGUGAGUAAAAGGUAGGAGACCUACCUCAUACAGGGGGAUAGCAUAGAGAAAUCUGUGGUAAUACCCCAUGAGGUUAUAUGAAUAGAGGCAUAUAAUCAAAGUAUACGAGAGUAUGCGGUAUGAGAUGGGCCUACUGACCAUUAGCUAGUUGGUGAGGUAAGGGCUCACCAAGGCGAAGAUGGUUAGGGGUUUUGAGAGAGAGAUCCCCCACAUUGGAACUGAGAUACGGUCCAGACUCCUACGGGAGGCAGCAGUAGGGAAUAUUGGGCAAUGGGCGAAAGCCUGACCCAGCCAUGCCGCGUGAAGGAAGACGGCCUUAUGGGUUGUAAACUUCUUUACUAUACGAAUAGAGGUUAGUACGAGUUACUAAUAGGAAGGUAGUAUAGCAAAAAGCACCGGCUAACUCCGUG